UUGUGUGAUACAACAGUGUACAGGCUUCAAGUCACUUGAUUUUAAGUCAUUAAUCCGUCUAUAAAAUAGUUCGUGGGUUUCGUUAGUGGUAGAAAAGAAAAUAAUAUAUUAGUAGAUAUUGCAGACUGCUGAUGUUGUCAUCGCGGCCCUUGUUACGGUCGAUUGUCCCCAGUAAAUUUGUCUGCUCGCCUGAUUACGCUGACACACGUGCGUGCAAAACUAAAUUCAGACCUUCCUGUUGAUCCUUUGUGACCAGUAGGAGUUAGUGCGUUGAGCGCUCAGCACAUUGUUGUAACACAAUAGUGACCGGCCUACUAAACCAUUGUCAAAUAUUGAUACCCAACUGGGUCAAACUUGAAGUGAAGUAUUGUACUGAAGUUCGAUAACGCUGCUAUGGAUUUGCGACUGACGAUUUUCUUAUGUUUUUUCUUAGUCGUGGUUGCUUCGGCUUUUCCUUCGGAGAAUGCUGUGUUGCGGGAGAGGCGUGAUGUGAUGGACUCCAUGAAGCACGCAUGGGGAGAAGUCGUGAGAACACUGAGCGAUGCAGGAGACGCUGUCGUCCAUGUGUUUAAGCCAACAGAGAAGAGCGUUGUCAACAAGCUAACAGAUGGAAUCAAGAGCUUCGCAGACUAACCAGUUCCUUGCAUUAUCCUUUCUAGUGCUUACGUAAAAACGAGUAUUGAAACGCUAUUGGCAACUUGGCCUUAUUAAUAUUACACUUACUUCAUCGCCCGACUGUUCUUGCCUAUAGAUGGUGUCUUCUUUUUGGAUAGAUAACUGUUUUAACAUGAUUUAAUAAUGAAUUAAAGUAAAAAAAAAAUUAGGCCACCUUUCUUUUACUACGUUUUUUUUCUAUUUUAUAGGAAUUACAUCGUAAUAGUUAGUUAAGUAAAAUAAACUUAAGCAAAUAAAUUAGUUUUAAGUUUUAUUACAUGGUAAUAAUGUAUUUAUCAUUACAUUGUGUCUCAUAAUCGUACUCGAUAAAUAUGGUGAAUAAUAUUUUUGCAGGCAAUUCGUCCCAUAUUUUCUUUUAGUAAGUCAUACUACUCUUUACUUGUCUUAGUAAGUACAUUUUAUAUUUACAAUUAUUUCAAUGUUAAUGUAGCCGUUUGCUUUGAACUGCCUUUUCAAUGUAACGUAGUGUUGUAGUAGUGUAGUGCUAGUACCUACUCUUUUUCCAUUUCAUUGAAAUCGACUUAGCCUUACUACAGUAAAAUUGUAUAAACAAACAUGCACACACACGCCUUCAUAAUAUAUUAGUUAGCAUUAGACCGGUUAGAAAUAAAUAAAUCAAAUCUG